rnacentral:rRNA from 1 species
UACGGAGGGUGCAGGCGUUAUCCGGAUUCACUGGGUUUAAAGGGUGCGUAGGCGGGUAAGUAAGUCCGUGGUGAAAUCUCUGAGCUUAACUCAGAAACUGCCGUGGAUACUAUUUGCCUUGAAUAUUGUGGAGGUGAGCGGAAUAUGUCAUGUAGCGGUGAAAUGCUUAGAUAUGACAUAGAACACCAAUUGCGAAGGCAGCUCACUACACAAUGAUUGACGCUGAGGCACGAAAGCGUGGGGAUCAAACAGG